rnacentral:lncRNA from 1 species
AGGGCAGUUUUCAAACUAGGCAGUGGUUAGACAUGGAUUUCGUAUACCCCUGUAAAAUAUGACAUGUUCUCCUCUAUACGUUUUCUAAUAUACAAGUGGAUUCCAUAAGAUAAUUUCUUCCUUUUUUUUUCCCCUACACAGGUAUAGGAAAGCAAUCUAUCCUCAUAUGAGUAACACUUUGAAUGUCUGUGGAAAUAAAUGAGAACUGAUUCCAUAUGGACUCAGUACAAAUGAAGAAUCAAAGCUACUCCAUUUUGUAAGGUUCCGGGAAAAGAGCCUUUGGAAAUCCCCUGACCUCACCCCACCACCUGCAAACCAAUCAGAACCCUUGGCCAGCCAGGGAAAUUCGAGUCAAGCCCAGGAAAGGAGAACCAAUCAGAACUCAACACCUAACCCUUCACCAGAGGGUGACCAAUCAGACCCGGAGACUCCCGGUUUUUGAAUUUUUCGCACGAUAAUACCCUAUAUAAGCAAUGUAACCCAGAGCUCAGGGCUCCUCCCUAUAGCUGCUGCGUCGGUAUCGGUGGGAGCCCCAGCUCGAGCUUGGUAAUAAAAACUCUCUUGCUUUUGCAUCAGAUAUUGGCUCCCUGGUGGUCAUUGGGAGAUUUCGCAACUUGGG